UACGUAGGUGGCAAGCGUUGUCCGGAAUUAUUGGGCGUAAAGCGCGCGCAGGCGGUCCUUUAAGUCUGAUGUGAAAGCCCACGGCUCAACCGUGGAGGGUCAUUGGAAACUGGGGACUUGAGUACAGAAGAGGAAAGUGGAAUUCCACGUGUAGCGGUGAAAUGCGUAGAGAUGUGGAGGAACACCAGUGGCGAAGGCGACUUCUGGUCUGUAACUGACGCUGAGGCGCGAAAGCGUGGGGAGCAAACAGG
rnacentral:rRNA from 1 species